AUAUCUCUCUGUACGGGAAGGAUGAGAAGCUUCGACUAAGGUUCGAUUCGAGCGAAAGCGAGAAAGCGUUGCCGCAGGCAACGACCCGAAGGGCGAACCGCGCAGCGCUGAGUAAUCCUUCCCCCACCACCA
rnacentral:sRNA from 1 species